GCUAGCUUCAGAUUUGUUCCCACCAAUUCCACUGUUACGUUUACAAAACAGCUCUUGGGAACGAUUCAAAUCAUAUGCUAACUUUAGCUCGUAGCAAUAACAAAACUCAUGCUAACGUUAUUUAGCUCAGCUAGAAGACGUUAGAAAGGUUGUCAGUCAUUCUGAGACACUGUAAAUUCAUAUAAACAUUUCUUUUUUUACUUUUUCUAGUUGGAACAGUUGAUUGUGGCACAUUGUUGUCACUGCACCUCCCCCUUCAGCACUUGGGACUCCAGGCAGCUGUGUGUGGCCUGUGGCAAGAACUGGACAAAUGUGAAAACAUUUAGAUCAGCGGAGCACCUUUGUGAAGCUGCAUUCCCGUAUGCAACACCAGCUACGAAGAGAACGUCUGAGCAGAGGGGGGGUUGGGAGGUGCU